UACGUAGGGUGCGAGCGUUGUCCGGAAUUAUUGGGCGUAAAGAGCUUGUAGGCGGUUUGUCGCGUCUGCUGUGAAAUCUCAAGGCUCAACCUUGAGCUUGCAGUGGGUACGGGCAGACUAGAGUGUGGUAGGGGAGACUGGAAUUCCUGGUGUAGCGGUGAAAUGCGCAGAUAUCAGGAGGAACACCUAUGGCGAAGGCAGCUCGCUGGGACGUUACUGACGCUGAGACGCGAAAGCGUGGGGAGCGAACAGG
rnacentral:rRNA from 1 species